CAGUAGCCGCGGUAAUACGUAGGUGGCAAGCGUUGUCCGGAAUUAUUGGGCGUAAAGCGAGCGCAGGCGGUUAGAUAAGUCUGAAGUUAAAGGCUGUGGCUUAACCAUAGUACGCUUUGGAAACUGUUUAACUUGAGUGCAAGAGGGGAGAGUGGAAUUCCAUGUGUAGCGGUGAAAUGCGUAGAUAUAUGGAGGAACACCGGUGGCGAAAGCGGCUCUCUGGCUUGUAACUGACGCUGAGGCUCGAAAGCGUGGGGAGCAAACAGGAUUAGAUACCCCUGUAGUCCCUGUCUCUUAUACA
rnacentral:rRNA from 1 species